UUGGGAAUCUUGCACAAUGGGGGAAACCCUGAUGCAGCGACGCCGCGUGGAGGACGAAGGGUCUAGGCCUGUAAACUCCUUUUAUGGGGAAAGACUUAGGACGGUACCCCAUGAAUAAGGACCGGCUAACUACGUGCCAGCAGCCGCGGUAAGACGUAGGGUCCGAGCGUUGUCCGGAUUUACUGGGCGUAAAGAGCGCGUAGGCGGCUCGUUAAGUGUAGAGUGAAAUCUCUGGGCUCACCCCAGAAACCGCUCUGCAUACUGGCGAGCUAGAGGGUCGGAGAGGCUUGUGGAAUUCCCGGUGUAGCGGUGAAAUGCGUUGAUAUCGGGAGGAACACCCAUGGCGAAGGCAGCAAGCUGGCCGGCAUCUGACGCUGAGGCGCGAAAGCGUGGGUAGCAAACA
rnacentral:rRNA from 1 species